rnacentral:rRNA from 1 species
UCGGGAAUAUUGCGCAAUGGAGGAAACUCUGACGCAGUGACGCCGCGUGCAGGAAGAAGGUUUUCGGAUUGUAAACUGCUUUAGACAGGGAAGAAAAAAGACAGUACCUGUAGAAUAAGCUCCGGCUAACUACGUGCCAGCAGCCGCGGUAAUACGUAGGGAGCGAGCGUUAUCCGGAUUUAUUGGGUGUAAAGGGUGCGUAGACGGGAUAAUAAGUUAGUUGUGAAAUCCCUCGGCUUAACUGAGGAACUGCAACUAAAACUGUUAUUCUUGAGUACUGGAGAGGAAAGUGGAAUUCCUAGUGUAGCGGUGAAAUGCGUAGAUAUUAGGAGGAACACCAGUGGCGAAGGCGACUUUCUGGACAGAAACUGACGUUGAAGCACGAAAGUGUGGGGAGCAAACAGG